rnacentral:rRNA from 1 species
UACGUAGGGGGCUAGCGUUGUCCGGAAUCGCUGGGCGUAAAGGGUUCGCAGGCGGAAAUGCAAGUCAGAUGUAAAAGGCAGUAGCUUAACUACUGUAAGCAUUUGAAACUGCAUAUCUUGAGAAGAGUAGAGGUAAGUGGAAUUUUUAGUGUAGCGGUGAAAUGCGUAGAUAUUAAAAAGAAUACCGGUGGCGAAGGCGACUUACUGGGCUCAUUCUGACGCUGAGGAACGAAAGCGUGGGUAGCAAACAGGAUUAGAAACCCUUGUAGUCC